GUACUCUGCGAUAAACGAAGUUGUGUAAAGUCGUUCCGCGGGCGACGGGCCGCAAUAACAAGGGCGUAAACGUGCGUGCGAACGUGAUCAGGCUGUCGCGAGUGUUGUAUCGAGUGACAUUAAAAAAGCCGAAGCGUCGACGACACCGAUUAACAUAACCUCGCAAUAACGAAUGCGAGAUUACAUGCUCAGCUGAAUGCGAGUAGGCGAGCAACAUAACUCGAAGUGCAUGUACUUCGAGAGUGUAGGUACACUCCUACGUACUCGUAUGUGAAUUAAGCAUCGCGUACGGGAAUAUGUGAUAACACUUGUGAGAAGAGAGGAAGAAGGGAGACUGUGCGUACUCGUAUGUGAAUUAAGCGUCGCGUACGGGAACUUGUUAAUGACAGAAGACGUUUUGUUUAAAAUAAAUUUUAUUAAGUGUUACACCAAAUACAAAUACUUUGACUAGUGAUUGAAAUAUCCUGCUUCGUUCCUGCACGAGAUCCCGUGUGACGAAUCCUGCGAAUAACCUAAAAAUAAAGUGUGAUUGUUGAAUCAAGAAAUAAAAGUUUUUUGGAAAGGAAUAUACUUACCUGGUGAAAUCCUGAGGGCAGUGACGAUCCGGGCAGUCCACGACGAUCCGACGGCAGCAGCGGCAGCAUCUGAAAAAUAGAAAGAGUUAGAAUAUCCUUGCUUCUAGGAGGUGAAAGGAGCUGGCGACCAGACAGAGACGCGAGCAGCGUGCAACGAAAGCCGACGGCUACAGCCGCCAACGCACCGAUCCGAGACCUGUCCAUCAACAUCACAAGGAUGAUCCCGACGCCGACGAACGGGCGAACGACGGGAGACGACGGAGCUCAACCCCGAUGCAGAACACCGCCGACGUCGCCGAGAAAGCGUGCGAGCGAGCCAACGCCGACGCCGAAGACGACGGAUCAACCGAGCGAGCAGGUAGCCGAGCCGGAUGACUCACAUCCGCACCCGGACACCGAGACAGCCACCCUACGAGGGGGACAGCGAAGCGACAGCGAGGAGGAAUUACCCCCCGCAUCUCAGUUCAUCGAGAUGUAACAAAAGACUUUGCGAGCGUUACAUCCCGCGUACGACAAGCGCGAUAUUUAAUUAUGUUAUUCUGAAAAGAUUUAUUCGUUUAGGUAAUUUCAUUUUAAGUUUAGCUACGCGUAGAGGCACCGCGUAAAACGCCGAAGCCGAGCGAGCGAGCAUGCGUGUGUAUGUGUGUGAGACCGCGUAUGCGAAGCGCUGUGCGAGAUAACGUUGUAACGCAAAUAUUAUUAUUAAAUAUAUAUAUUUUAUACGUGUGUGAAAUUAUCAUAUUCUAUUACUCUAGUUAGUAUCUUACGCGAAAAAGCGUUCGUUUGUACUAUUCAUAUUUCAUUUAUUAAGAUAAAGAUACAUUAUGUUAUUCUAAACAAUUUUAUUAAACAUUAUAAAUAUUCCCGACCCGCAUUGCAGGGCGCGCGACAAAUUCAACGCCGUGAGACGGACAACGUCGCGAAGGACGCCUUACGAGCAGGCAACCCGACUUGCUCAAGUGACAGGUCGAGGUUAGGUUGCCCAUGGUAUAGAGACGGGCGAGAUAACAUGUACCACAGGCGCAUUGCCGAGCGCAUAAUCAUUGAGAUUCCAACUUCAGUAACGCUGUAUUUCACAAUACAGUGGUUUAAUAGAGUUUAUCAUGUAUUUAUAAUAAUUACAAUCUCAGAGAGACCAAUGGGAAUGUCAGUGAUUACGUGGGAAGUAUACGAUAUUACCGUGGAUAGCACGGAAUAAUUAUUAUUCAUUUUGUGUUGUAUCGAGUCUCAUUAACUCGAAUAUUAAUUAUUAUAUUCAUUUGAUUAAGCUUACGAAGGCUCAGGUCCAUUAACCAAUCAGAACGCUUAUUUUCUUAAAUGAGUGAUUACUCCCGUUAGGAGAACGAUAAUUGAAAUCGCUUAAGUAACUUUUCUUAAUAGACGCUACUUGAUAUAGCGCACAUGAUUUCGACGAUGUACGUCGAGAUAAAUAAUUAACGCAAAGACCUGAGGCUUUAACUUUGCGUUCAAACAUACCAUAAGGUAUAGAACGCCAUGGUGUCGAUAUGCGCAUGCGACCCCAUGGCGUGCGAGCGAGAGGGACGCUUUGUAUGAGUGAGAUAACCUCUCGAUGCUCGCCGAUUGGCGAAGGAACAAUGCAUGGUAACAACGAGCCAAUCGAGGAGCAUCGAAGAGGGGAGUGAAUGUGGAAACAGCGGCUCGGCGUCCCGAUUGUAAAAAAGUUUGCCUGGAGACUCGAACGAGCACGGACGUGUCUCUCCUCGAGUUCCCGCGUUAUUAAUACGCAUACCUCGUGUGAUAGUGAUAACGGGCGUGUAAUUAAAAUAAUUUCGCGACACAACCCGCGAGCUAUCGCCAAUAGGCAUUUUUUCCGCGUAACAUUCGCGACGCGUUAAUUAUUGCGAAUUUCCGACACCGCGUUGUGCGAGAGGCGCGGCCGGAAGCAAUACGUGCGUGCGAUGCGUGAAAGGGCAUAGCCACCGCAAUUAUGUGCGUGCGUGAAUAAUCUGUUUGUAAAAUAAAGCAGAGUAAGGUGCAAAUCAAUAGUGUGGCAUAUUUAAUUAUCGUGCAACCCAACAUCCUUCCCGGGCGAGUCCAUUGUCUAGCGUCGAUUGCAUCAUCCCACGCGGACGAGAGAGAACGUGAUCCCGAGGAUUGGGCGAGGUCUACGAGGUACCCAAGCGACUCUACAGCAUACGAGCGAGGGGAUACUCAGAUUUUUGACUGCAUCAGACGGAAUUCCGAAGGCCGACCUUCCACCUUGGCGGCGAGGUAAAACACCGACCUGGCGACCGUGAUUUCAACAUAAAACCGCCACCGAUACUCGGCGUUGCUGCAAUCCCAGAUCUGGCUGUCACCGUGACGAGGAUGGAGGAGAGGCGACCGCCGAGCCGACAGCCCGAGGAAGUCGGGGCAUCCGUCGAGGCAUCGCCCGAGAAGCGACCGAGCCCGACGCCGAGACGACGUGAGUCACCGCCGAUAGCCGAGUCAGCCGAUCCCCACCACCAAUAUCCGACGACGCCGACGAAGGAGCCGAGGGACGCGCAGUUUAAGAUCACCGUCUCCGAGCCGAACGACAAUGUCGACGAGCCGUCCGACGAUGACACCGGGAUACCACAAGCGUCACAAUUCGUGGACCUUUAGAUUUAAGUUUUCUUUGUAAAAUAAAAAAGUUUAUUUUCUUAUUGUAAUGUACGAACGGCAGACCAUGCGAUCCGCGACCGCGAGACGCGCCGCGAGUGUGAAGUGUGCAUGGGUGAAAGCCGCGUAUAGUUUUAAGUUAAUUUUAUAUUAUUUACCCGAUAAAUUUAUAAUAUUAUGUUAAGGGGAUCCAGGAACGGCUUUGAAACUUGAUCGAGGUCGAUAAUGUAGAGUUGUUCAUGUAUUCUAGAGUGACUACCGAACUCCGAAGGUCCAGCGACAUCUACUAAAGAAAACUAAAAAUGUCGAUGAUAUCAAUCGAUAAUAUCGACAGUUUUUCUUUCUUACAUGAUCCAAAGCUAUUUUCUGCAUUACCAUGUUAGGAUGUAUUAUAUUAGAUCAGAUGCUUCAGAUUUUAUUUAUUACCGUUAUUAUAAUACCGUCGGAAUAGACACUUUUGAUUAUCAUUAUUACAUCGUCUGAAUAGGCUUCUAAUUAUUAUUAUUAUUAUUAUUAGUAUUAUAUUAUUAUACAAUUAGUGCCAUUCGAAUAGACGCUUCCGACAUUUAUUUUGUCAGUACCGCCAGAUCAGACGUUUUUGAUCUUAUUACAAUCAAUGCCGUUCAUAGAGGCUUCUGACAUUUAUUUUGUCAGAAAACGUUUCUGAUUAUUACAAUCAGUGUCGUUCGAACAGACGCUUCUGACAUUUAUUUUGUCAGUACCGCCGGAUCAGACGUUUCUGAUUUUUACUACAAUUAGUGCCGUUCGAAUAGACGCUUUCGACAUUUAUUUUGUCAGUACCGCCAGAUUAAACGCGUCUCAUUUUGUACACAUUAUAUAUGUAUAGACAAUGUGUGUGUGUGUGUGUGUGUGCGCGCGCGCGCUCGCGCGUUUAAUACAUUUUA